rnacentral:rRNA from 1 species
GACGAACGCUGGCGGCGUGCUUAACGCAUGCAAGUCGAACGGAAAGGCCCUGCUUUUGUGGGGUGCUCGAGUGGCGAACGGGUGAGUAACACGUGAGUAACCUGCCCUUGACUUUGGGAUAACUUCAGGAAACUGGGGCUAAUACCGGAUAGGAGCUCCUGCUGCAUGGUGGGGGUUGGAAAGUUUCGGUGGUUGGGGAUGGACUCGCGGCUUAUCAGCUUGUUGGUGGGGUAGUGGCUUACCAAGGCUUUGACGGGUAGCCGGCCUGAGAGGGUGACCGGCCACAUUGGGACUGAGAUACGGCCCAGACUCCUACGGGAGGCAGCAGUGGGGAAUAUUGCACAAUGGGCGGAAGCCUGAUGCAGCAACGCCGCGUGCGGGAUGACGGCCUUCGGGUUGUAAACCGCUUUCGCCUGUGACGAAGCGUGAGUGACGGUAAUGGGUAAAGAAGCACCGGCUAACUACGUG